GAAGUCGUAACAAGGUAACCAACUCUAGAGUUUGAUCCUGGCUCAGACUCAAGUCGUAACAAGGUAGCCAAGGGCGAAUUCUGCAGAUAUCCAUCACACUGGCGGCCGCUCGAGCAUGCAUCUAGAGGGCCCAAUUCGCCCUAUAGUGAGUCGUAUUACAAUUCACUGGCCGUCGUUUUACAACGUCGUGACUGGGAAAACCCUGGCGUUACCCAACUUAAUCGCCUUGCAGCACAUCCCCCUUUCGCCAGCUGGCGUAAUAGCGAAGAGGCCCGCACCGAUCGCCCUUCCCAACAGUUGCGCAGCCUGAAUGGCGAAUGGACGCGCCCUGUAGCGGCGCAUUAAGCGCGGCGGGUGUGGUGGUUACGCGCAGCGUGAC
rnacentral:rRNA from 1 species